rnacentral:rRNA from 1 species
CCUACGGGAGGCAGCAGUGAGGAAUAUUGGACAAUGGGCGCAAGCCUGAUCCAGCCAUGCCGCGUGCAGGAAGAAGCAUCUAUGGUGUGUAAACUGCUUUUGUACAGGAAGAAACACUCCCUCGUGAGGGAGCUUGACGGUACUGUAAGAAUAAGGACCGGCUAACUCCGUGCCAGCAGCCGCGGUAAUACGGAGGGUCCGAGCGUUAUCCGGAAUCAUUGGGUUUAAAGGGUCCGUAGGCGGUUUAAUAAGUCAGUGGUGAAAUCUGGUCGCUCAACGAUCAAACGGCCAUUGAUACUGUUAGACUUGAAUUAUAAGGAAGUAACUAGAAUAUGUAGUGUAGCGGUGAAAUGCUUAGAUAUUACAUGGAAUACCAAUUGCGAAGGCAGGUUACUACUUAUGGAUUGACGCUGAUGGACGAAAGCGUGGGGAGCGAACAGGAUUAGAUACCCUGGUAGUCCACGCCGUAAACGAUGGAUACUAGCUGUUCGGAGCAAUCUGAGUGNGUAGAGAAGUAGAGUAAGUAUACCACCGUACGGGUAGGUACGGUUACGUCGAGAAGUAGAACGUACGAAGAAGUUAGUACGGACGUGAGACGUAGACGACGGACGACGACGAGGGAGGAGG